UAAAAAAGUCUACGUGGUAGGGAAGGAUUGAAACACAAUGCAAAAAAAUGCAUACUACUGAGCUUUUGAACAAAUUGGAAAGUAAGUUUCGGUUUAGUGUAUAGAUCCCUUAAAUCCUGGGUGAAAAUGGCAUAUGAAUGCUUGCGUUUAUAUUUAUGUUUGAAUUUUAGGAAAACCAGAAGAUAUGUUACCUCAGAUUCGGAGGAAGACAUGGUUACUGAUGAAGAAUCAGUGCCACGUCCUCCACCUCUACCAACUCUUCUCUCAAUGAUGACAUCUGGUCAGAAAGGCUCUACUCCACAAGGCAUGCUUAUUUUUGACAUCUGAGGAGCCAUCGACAUUGACUACGACCCACCAAGCCCGGACAUCCACACCUGCUCAGACACGGACAGUAAAAACUGCAGCCAGGACACCCAUAUCCCCCGUACCAGCAACAACCUCCCUCAACCAAGAGAAUGGUAUGCAAUACCUACCGGGUAUUUGACUCUGACAAGACACUACUCCGAUCUCAAGAUACAGAAAACCCAAUUUUUAUUUAUAUUCCUUUUUUUAAAUACAUUUCAGCAACUGUGUGCUUAAUCGUCAAGCUCUUGACCGAGCUGAAAACAGAUAUGUGCAGCAUUAAAAAGCAACUCCAUCAGCUGUCUCGACAACUCAGUGAGACCAAUCAAGUGGACGAUGAGUUUGUAAUGCCGGAUGGUUUGGUAUUUCCAAUGGAUACACUCGAUGAACUGACUUCACUAGAAAAAAAAUCUGGAGACAGACAAGGAGCUAGAGAGGCACCUGGUCGUGUCAUGGGCAGCUUGCGGUGGAAGUACCGUAUACAACUGCCUCAACCUCAUCUUUGAUAAGACCAUUACCAACAGACUCGCUCGUCAAAUUAACUGGACGGGACAAUGUGGGAAGAGAUCGUUCAAGUCUCUACGGAUGAGGGCUGUUAUAGAGAAAUCCAUCAGAAAGAACCCGCCUACAAAAUAUGCGACGGAAGCAGAUGUACAUCCGUAAGUGAAAAACGUUUUUUUUUAUUUUAGUAUUUUGUGACCCCAAGUUGACUUUACAUGUAUCUCAUUGAGAGUUAAUUUACAUAGGGCCUAGUGAGCUUCUUACCAUCACGAAGCCUACAAACCCGCCA